UAGGGAAUCUUCCACAAUGGACGAAAGUCUGAUGGAGCAACGCCGCGUGAGCGAUGAAGGCCUUCGGGUCGUAAAGCUCUGUUGUUAGGGAAGAACAAGUACCGGAGUAACUGCCGGUACCUUGACGGUACCUAACCAGAAAGCCACGGCUAACUACGUGCCAGCAGCCGCGGUAAUACGUAGGUGGCAAGCGUUGUCCGGAAUUAUUGGGCGUAAAGCGCGCGCAGGCGGUCCUUUAAGUCUGAUGUGAAAGCCCACGGCUCAACCGUGGAGGGUCAUUGGAAACUGGGGGACUUGAGUGCAGAAGAGGAAAGCGGAAUUCCACGUGUAGCGGUGAAAUGCGUAGAGAUGUGGAGGAACACCAGUGGCGAAGGCGGCUUUCUGGUCUGUAACUGACGCUGAGGCGCGAAAGCGUGGGGAGCAAACAGG
rnacentral:rRNA from 2 species